GGUGGGUGUUCGAUCAGAGAAGAGAAAGAAGGGGGAAACCCCUUCUCAAACCCUAAAUCAGAAAAUUGGAAUAGAAAUCAAGGCUAAAUCUUAUGCAUGGACCUGGAUAUAUGAUCAUCUAGCCUUGCUAAACAUGUGUAAGUAUGAGGAGGUGUUAGAAUCAACAAAUAAAGCUUAGAUUAUGAACGGUUCUGAGUAAUUCGAUGUUUAGUGGCGAAACCACCAUUGAUGGUGAGAGUGGCGACAUGGGUAUGUCACCCAUGUCCAACCUUUGUUCAAAUCCUUGGUAGAUUAUGUUAUGUGUAAUCAAUUUUUGUUAGUUAUGUUGAAUAUGGUAUGAAGUUGAAUUGAUAUUUUGUAUGUUGGAUGAUUAAAAACAAGAACUAGGAAGAAAAAGUAGGAAGAAUACUUGUACAUUAUGUUUGAAAACUUGUAUGCGCGCCAAGUGUUUGAUGAAAUGACUAGAUGAAGUUAGAAGGUGAAAUUGCAUGCAAGAAAGUGGUAAUUAGAUAUAGAACGUGACAAAGAGGUGUUUGAUAGUAAACUAACAUGAGAAGUGCGUUUAGAUAGAGUUUGUUGCUAAGUAUGGAUCAUGGUGCAAGUGUAGAAUUAUGGAGGUUUCUAGUGUGGUUAGUACAUGUAAUUAUGUGAUUAUGUGGUUAAAUGAGUAUUUCACUAUGAGUAUGCUAUAUGCUUGUUGAAAUGAUUAUUGGAAGCCGAAUGUGAAAUGUAAAUUAAUAUGGUCGUUCUUAUGUAUAAUUUCGUAUGCUAACAAGAACGUGGAUGUAAUGAAAUGAAAGUAUAGGGAAUCAUGUCAAGAUGAGUGAAAGCAUGAGAGGCUAACGGAUUAAGAGGACAUGAGGAAGCAAAUGUAAAUACGGAAUGCAUAAGGUAAGUGAUUUCCGUAAUCACUUCUUAUUUUAUUUAAGUAAAGUAGUGUUAGUCAAUUAAGCAUGAUGUUGUUUGAAGUUUCAUAUGGUUUUGGUUGUAUGAAAUCGGUAAUUUUAGCUUAGUAGACCGAAUGGGACAAUAUAAAGUUGUAAUGAUAUGACGAUUAAUGUCUAAGUAAUGGCUACGGUAUGUAACCGGGUAAUGGGUAAAAUUGCACAUAAGUGCACCAACCGAGAAUGGGGACUUAGGUUAAUGGGUCAAAGUGAAGGUAUGCUUUAGCACGGAACGUUUGUACAAGUAACGACGAUAGUAUUACAUGUGCCCGGUUAGUAUAAGGUGUUAUAACAUUACCAUUAUGUGAGCCUUAAGUGUAAACAUAUGAGUUGCUUGAUAAAGUCAUGAAUGGGUCGAAUAAUUCGUAGAUGAAUAAUAAGCCGAAGACGUAUAAGUUAAGAAUUUCCUUAACCCGGAUGUUGGAUUUCAAGUUCACAUGAUAGAAUAUUAAUUUACAAUCAUGUAGGAAGAAACGUGACGCAAAACGGAUGAAAAAUGAGAGAGUUAUGUCCGUUUCGGUAAGAAUUAAUGGCUAGGAAAAGUGCAGAGCUGACACGGCCGGGUGGUGAGCUGACACGGCCGGGUGAAGGUUCUGUGAAAAAUAUCAUUUAUGCGAUUUAUGCAUCGUAGGCUUCGGUAUAUUAUCCGUGGACUACGGUGGGCCUCCCAAACAUGAUUUCGAGUGUUUCCUUGACGAUUAUAAGUUGUAAACCCAAGUCUAAGCCUCAUGUAAUUUAUAUAAGAGUAUGAUAGAUGUAUGUAAUGAAGUUGGACAUGUAUUACAUGUAAAUGGUAUACAAGAAUGCGUACGGAACACGUAGGUAUGAAUACAUGAUUGUAGGUAUGAUUGGAUGUAUAUAGGUAUGUAGAUGUGUAUGAUUGUAAGUAUGUAUGUGUGCAAGUAUGUGCGAAUGAGGUUUUCAGUAUGUGUAUCGAUGAAUACUAAUAAUGUGCUUGAGAUUUGAAGGUAAUGCAGGAAUGAGAAUGUAGAGUUCAUGAAGAUUGAAGUCGAACUUGGAACUAUAAACUAUGAGGAGAUGAUUGAGCGAACCCAAGUUCUUAGUGAAUUAUGAACUGAUUUUUAACUAUAUAGAGUUAUGUUUUAUGGUGUUGCUUGUGACUAACAGUUUAGUUGUUUCUGGUUUCCACAGGAAUUGUACGGGCCUCUCUCUCUCUCUCUGUGACUAAUAUAACCAAGUGAGCGUAGAUCGAGUCAAGUGCAAGGAUUGUACAAAAAGAACGGUUACGUAGUCUUAAUUUUGUAACGCAUUAAAUUGUAAAUGGAAGUGAAUUUUGUAAGCUUCUUCAUGAAUGUGUGUAUUGUUAUAAGAUCAUAAAGAAAAUUUUAAAGCUAUUUUUCCGCUGCGUUAUCUUUAAGUUCUUACACGAUGAUCUUACAGGGAAUUGUUCUUAUUACGAACGGGUCAUGCCCGAAUUUUUUUAAAUAAUAGUAUGGUAAUAUUACUUUUCGGAUUAAGAAAUAUGGGCGUUACAAGUUGGUAUCAGAGCGAUGGUUUGAGGGAAAUCAAGUAUGUGGAGGUAAAUACUUGAACUCAAACCAGAGUGCUCUUGUGACAAGGAACCCGUACAAUCCAAGACUCGAUCAAAAUAUAAAGGUAGAAGCUAAUGUAAGUGUGUAUUUACGCAUGUAUAUUAAGAAAAACUAACAGUAUGUUAUGUGAAGGGUAAGCAUAGUUGUUGGAGAGGAUGAUCCGCGAGUACGGUCUUGGACCGACACCAAGGCACGUAGUAAGAUAAAUUGAUUCCAGGUACGUAUAUUUAAUAUGUGUAAGUACAUGUAAUGGUAAAAUCUAG
rnacentral:lncRNA from 1 species